rnacentral:rRNA from 1 species
CACGUAGGGGGCGAGCGUUGUCCGGAUUUAUUGGGCGUAAAGAGCGUGUAGGCGGCCAUACAGGUCCGUUGUGAAAACUGGAGGCUUAACCUCCAGACGUCGAUGGAAACCGUAUGGCUAGAGUCCGGAAGAGGAGAGUGGAAUUCCUGGUGUAGCGGUGAAAUGCGCAGAUAUCAGGAAGAACACCCGUGGCGAAGGCGGCUCUCUGGGACGGUACUGACGCUGAGACGCGAAAGCGUGGGGAGCGAACAGG